UCUCGAUAGCGUAAAAGUUAACUCAACUUUGUAUGGAGUUGUAACGUUUGCCUACGUUUGCCGCUAGGGGCGCUGUUGUAACUUCAUACAAAGGAGUUAACUUUUACGCUAUCGA
rnacentral:pre_miRNA from 9 species